UACGAAGGGGGCUAGCGUUGUUCGGAAUCACUGGGCGUAAAGGGCGCGUAGGCGGCUUUAUAAGUCGGGGGUGAAAGCCUGUGGCUCAACCACAGAAUUGCCUUCGAUACUGUAGAGCUUGAGACCGGAAGAGGUAAGUGGAACUGCGAGUGUAGAGGUGAAAUUCGUAGAUAUUCGCAAGAACACCGGUGGCGAAGGCGGCAUCCUGGACCAACACUGACGCUGAGGAGCGAAAGCCAGGGGAGCAAACGGG
rnacentral:rRNA from 1 species